rnacentral:misc_RNA from 1 species
AAGUCGUAACAAGGUUUCCGUAGGUGAACCUGCGGAAGGAUCAUUAACGAGUAUCGAAAGGGACUGUAGCUGGCCCCCCGGGGCAUGUGCACGUCCCGCUCAUCCACUCUACACCUGUGAACCACCUGUAGGCCAGUCUUCGGCUCGGGGCUUGUCUCCGAUGUCCGGGUUGACCUAUGUCUCAUUACAAACGCUUUGGUAUCAGAAUGUACGUCGCGAUAAUACGCAUCUUAAUACAACUUUCAGCAACGGAUCUCUUGGCUCUC